rnacentral:rRNA from 1 species
UAAACGCUGGCGGCGUGCUUAACACAUGCAAGUCGAACGGAGUGGUCCUCCCGAAGACCUGAAGAGCUUGCUCAGAUGGAAUUCAUUUGGAUCACUUAGUGGCGGAUGGGUGAGUAACGCGUGGGUAACCUGCCUCACACUGGGGGAUAGCAGUUGGAAACGACUGAUAAUACCGCAUAAGCGCACAGAUAGGCAUCUAUCAGUGUGAAAAACUCCGGUGGUGUGAGAUGGACCCGCGUCUGAUUAGCUAGUUGGUGAGGUAACGGCCCACCAAGGCGACGAUCAGUAGCCGGCCUGAGAGGGUGUACGGCCACAUUGGGACUGAGACACGGCCCAAACUCCUACGGGAGGCAGCAGUGGGGAAUAUUGGACAAUGGGGGCAACCCUGAUCCAGCCGACGCCGCGUGAGCGAAGAAGUAUUUCGGUAUGUAAAGCUCUAUCAGCAGGGAAGAUAAUGACGGUACCUGACUAAGAAGCACCGGCUAAAUACGUGCCAGCAGCGGC